rnacentral:misc_RNA from 1 species
GAAAUGCGAUAAGUAAUGUGAAUUGCAGAAUUCCGUGAAUCAUCGAAUCUUUGAACGCACAUUGUGCCCUCUGGCAUUCCGGGGGGGAUGCCUGUCCGAGCGUCAUUACGCACCCUCAAGCCCGGCUUGUGUGAUGGGCCCCGGCGUCUCGUUCGCGAGACGGGCCCGAAAGGCAGCGGCGGCGUCGACCCGAUGAGCCCGAGCGUAUGGGGACUUCUGUCACACGUUCGCGGUGCGGACCGGCGCCUGCUUGACUUUUCUGAUUAUCCAGGUUGACCUCGGAUCAGGUAGGGAUACCCGCUGAACUUAAGC